rnacentral:lncRNA from 1 species
UAUCUAUAUACUUUGUUUCUUCUUCUAGGAUUUCUGUUGCCUGGGAGAAUGCUGUCUGUUUCACUGGCUUUUAUAUUCAGCACAACUGAACAUGGCAUUUGAGAGACAGCAAUUGCUCAGGUAUGUCUGGAUAUCAAAUUAAGAAUCAUAUUUUUGGAGGGUCAAGGACAGUACUCACAGGUGAUACUCAGCAGAGCUGACUGUAAGCCGUGGAUCCAACAAAAAUCCCUAAGUGAGAUUCCUUCUUGCAAUUUCACACUUGAGUACUCAACUCAGCAAAAGCUGGGAGAGAAACUCAAUCAAAACAAAUGAAGAGAUGGGGGUGGGAAGAAUAAAGAGAAAUACAACAGAG